CAAAAAUCUAAGCAGUUCAUCUUAUGCCCAUACCAUGAAAAGAAUCAUUGGGUUCUUUUGGUCUUAUGCAUGGCUAAGCGUGAAGUCAUCAUCUUUGAUUGUUUGAGGCAGAAGCGAAAUUUAGCAAUUAAGUUUGCAAUGACAAAUGCUUUUCGAAGUUUCAAGGCAUUAAGUGGACAAUCUAGGGGAAGUAAAUUAACAUGGCAUUUGGGACAGGUUACCUUAAUUUCUUACCCUAACUUUUAGUUUCUUAAUAAUUUAAGUAUAGCAAUUUAAUUCAACUU